rnacentral:rRNA from 1 species
GAUGAACGCUGGCGGCGUGCUUAACACAUGCAAGUCGAACGAUGAAGCCCAGCUUGCUGGGUGGAUUAGUGGCGAACGGGUGAGUAACACGUGGGUAACCUGCCCUUAACUCUGGGAUAAGCCUGGGAAACUGGGUCUAAUACCGGAUAGGAGCGUCCACCGCAUGGUGGGUGUUGGAAAGAUUUAUCGGUUUUGGAUGGACUCGCGGCCUAUCAGCUUGUUGGUGAGGUAAUGGCUCACCAAGGCGACGACGGGUAGCCGGCCUGAGAGGGUGACCGGCCACACUGGGACUGAGACACGGCGCAGACGCGUACGGGAGGCAGCAGGGGGGAACAUUGCACAAUGGGCGCAAGCCUGAUGCAGCGACGCCGCGUGCGGGAUGACGGCCUUCGGGUUGUAAACCUCUGUCAGUAGGGAAGAAGCGAAAGUGACGGUACCUGCAGAAGAAGCACCGGCUAACUACGUG